GACGAACGCUGGCGGCGUGCUUAACACAUGCAAGUCGAACGGAAAGGCCCUGCUUUUGUGGGGUGCUCGAGUGGCGAACGGGUGAGUAACACGUGAGUAACCUGCCCUUGACUUUGGGAUAACUUCAGGAAACUGGGGCUAAUACCGGAUAGGAGCUCCUGCUGCAUGGUGGGGGUUGGAAAGUUUCGGCGGUUGGGGAUGGACUCGCGGCUUAUCAGCUUGUUGGUGGGGUAGUGGCUUACCAAGGCUUUGACGGGUAGCCGGCCUGAGAGGGUGACCGGCCACAUUGGGACUGAGAUACGGCCCAGACCCCUACGGGAGGCAGCAGGGGGGAAUUUUGCACAAUGGGCGGAAGCCCGAUGCAGCAACGCCGCGUGCGGGAUGACGGCCUUUGGGUUGGUAACCGGUUUCGCCUUUGACGAAGCGUGAGUGACGGUAAUGGGUAAAGAAGCACCGGCUAACUACGUG
rnacentral:rRNA from 1 species